AUGAGUGUGUUCAGAUUACCUGCUUCAGUCUGUGAUGACUUGACGGGCAUGAUGAGGCAAUAUUGGUGGGGAGUUGAGAAGGGUAAAAGGAAGAUGGCAUGGUUGAGUUGGGACAAGAUGAUGCUACCCAAGUUGAAAGGUUCUUGGCUUCGGGAUAUGAGUGCGUUUAACUAAGCAUUGUUAGCAAAACAGGCUUGGCAUUUAUUGGAUAACCCUAAGAGCUUAUGUGCACGGCUGCUUAACGCGAAAUACUAUCCAAAUGGGAACCUUUUGGACACAAUAUUUUCAGGCAAUGCUUCUGCGGAGUGGAAGGGAACUGACUAUGGUUUGGAUCUUGUCAAAAAGGUAAUAUGGAGGGUUGGAGAAGGGCGUUCUAUUCAUGCUUGGCGGGAUCCAUGGAUUCCUUGAGGCCCAUCCCUUCGCCCUAUAACACCAAGAAGAAAUUGUCGACUGAAACGGGUCUCGGAUUUCAUUGAUGAGCAUGGUGCAUGGAUUCGGGAAAAAGUUGAGGAGUUUUUCUGGCCUAUGGAUGUGAUACAAAUAUUUAAAAUCAGGACUUCGCCACGUCUCCAGGAGGAAUUUUUGGCUUGGCACCUGGAGCGGUCAGGCAGGUUCACAUUAAAAAGUGCUUACCAUCCAGCUACUCUACUACAUGAUGAUGAUUUUGGCGGGGGUGCUAGCAGCGCUCUCCCGGGGGAGCUUCCAUUCUGGUGUAAUAUUUGGCAUACUAUAGUGCCUCUGAAGAUGAAAAUCUUAGCCUGGAAAGCGGUAUCACCUGCAUUGCCACCUCGGAAAAUAUAACAGUACGAGCACUUGUCGACUCAUGCAUCAUGUCCUAUUUGCAAUCGGGAAGUCGAAGGGUCAUUCCAUGCCCUAGUUGGGUGCGCCCAUGCACAGGGCCUUUGGAAUGCGAUGAGUGUUGUUUGGCCUAUUCCGCGCAAAGAAUAGGUGCUUGAUGCCGGCAAUGAUUUGCUUCUGCCGCUCUUGGCAAGUUGCUCGGACAUUGCACAUAGCAUGAUUGUGAUGCUGGUGUGGCGCAUAUGGCAGGUUCGGGUUGACAUCACACAUGGAAAGGAGGCCCCCCAGUCCAGGCCUCGGUGGAAUUUCUAUAAAGCUACAUGA
rnacentral:rRNA from 1 species